rnacentral:rRNA from 1 species
UACGUAGGUGGCAAGCGUUGUCCGGAUUUACUGGGCGUAAAGGAUGCGUAGGCGGACAUUUAAGUCAGAUGUGAAAUACCCGAGCUUAACUUGGGUGCUGCAUUUGAAACUGGGUGGCUAGAGUGCAGGAGAGGUAAGUGGAAUUCCUAGUGUAGCGGUGAAAUGCGUAGAGAUUAGGAAGAACACCAGUGGCGAAGGCGACUUACUGGACUGUAACUGACGCUGAGGCAUGAAAGCGUGGGGAGCAAACAGG